GGCAGGGUGAGCAAGUUUGAGUCUCUUCAGCUGGCGCUAGGCAUAGGGGCUGGCCCUAGCUGUCCAGUAACUGACCCUGGGGUGUUAGGGCUGAUGACUGGUCCAGAGUGUGAGUACGGCAAAGGAGGUGGCUGGAGUUUCUUGCAUCCCUGGGAACUGGUUAACCCUGGGAAGGAGGAGCAGUCACUUCAGAUGUCAAAGCAUCAAAGCACAGAAAGCAAGAGACCCAGUUUGUGUGGUUAUGGGUUGAGGAGUGAGUGAGGAAUGCUGGCAGAGGCCCGCGGGGCCCCUUCUCCUCUCAGGAGUGGUUAGGGAGGAAAGGGAUUGCUGGCUACCACAGCACAGGUGCUGAAAGUUGGCUCAAUUCUUUGCAGGAGGACAGAGACUGCCUUCUGGUAAGAUCUUUCUUGGGCCUGUCUGCGGGGCAGCAGCUCCUGGCAGAGAUCCUAGAGCACAUGGGCUGUGGAGCUGCUUGGACCAUCAGCCUCAACCUCAGGGCUUUGGUCUGGCUGAGCUCAGCUGUUUACAGUCUGCAGCAGGCCGGGGAAGGCCAGAAAGGGCUGUGUGAGCGUGUGCUGUAUGGAACAGCAUGGGAGUUUCAGUUUCUCUGGGCAAGAUCAUGGGGAGCACCCCAAGAGCUUAGGCAGUGCAAGCCUCUUUUGCAAUGCCCCUGUGCCAUGCUGCCCUGCCUUGGAGCCUGCCGACUACAGACUGAAACCUCUACAAACUGUG
rnacentral:lncRNA from 1 species